UACGUAGGGGGCAAGCGUUGUCCGGAUUUAUUGGGCGUAAAGAGCGUGUAGGCGGCUGGGUAGGUCCGUUGUGAAAACUCGAGGCUCAACCUCGAGACGCCGAUGGAAACCCUCCAGCUAGAGUCCGGAAGAGGAGAGUGGAAUUCCUGGUGUAGCGGUGAAAUGCGCAGAUAUCAGGAGGAACACCAAUGGCGAAGGCAGCUCGCUGGAACGGUACUGACGCUGAGGCGCGAAAGCGUGGGGAGCGAACAGG
rnacentral:rRNA from 1 species